rnacentral:misc_RNA from 1 species
UGGUUCUGGCAUCGAUGAAGAACGCAGCGAAAUGCGAUAAGUAAUGUGAAUUGCAGAAUUCAGUGAAUCAUCGAAUCUUUGAACGCACAUUGCGCCCGGUGGUAUUCCGCCGGGCAUGCCUGUUCGAGCGUCAUUUAAACCAAUCCAGCCUCGUGCUUGGGUCUUGGGCCAUUCGCCUCUGGGCGGGCCUUAAAAUCAGUGGCGGUGCCCUCUGGCUCUAAGCGUAGUAAUACUUCCUCGCUACAGAUGCCAGGCGGUGUCCUGCCAGCAACCCCCCCCAUUUUUCAAAGGUUGACCUCGGAUCAGGUAGGGAUACCCGCUGA